rnacentral:rRNA from 1 species
GACGAACGCUGGCGGCGUGCUUAACACAUGCAAGUCGAACGGAAAGGCCCUGAGUUUGUGGUGUUCUCGAGUGGCGAACGGGUGAGUAACACGUGAGUAACCUGCCCUUGACUUUGGGAUAACUUCAGGAAACUGGGGCUACUACCGGAUAGGAGCUCCUGCUGCGUGGUGGGGGUUGGAAAGUUUCGGCUGUAGCGGAUGGAUGGGCGGCUUAUGAGCUUGUUGGUGGGGGAGUCGCUGACCAAGGCUGUGACGGGUAGCCGGCAUGGGAGGGUGAACGGGCACAUUGCUCCUGCGAUACGCACCAGAGGGCUACGUGAGGCAGUAGUGGGGAACAUUGCACAAUCAGCCGACGCGGGAUGCAACGGCGCCGCGUGCGUGAUGCCGUCCUGUGGGUUGUAAACCGCUUUCGCCUGUGACGAAGCUGUAGUGACGGUAAUGGGUAAAGAAGCACCGGCUAACUACGUG